rnacentral:rRNA from 1 species
UACGUAGGGUGCGAGCGUUGUCCGGAAUUAUUGGGCGUAAAGAGCUCGUAGGCGGUCUGUCACGUCGGAUGUGAAAAUCCAGGGCUUAACCCUGGACCUGCAUUCGAUACGGGCAGACUAGAGUUCGGUAGGGGAGACUGGAAUUCCUGGUGUAGCGGUGAAAUGCGCAGAUAUCAGGAGGAACACCGGUGGCGAAGGCGGGUCUCUGGGCCGAUACUGACGCUGAGGAGCGAAAGCGUGGGGAGCGAACAGG